UGACAGCCCCGUACACAAAAAUGCACAUGCUGUGAGCUCGAUGAGUAGGGCGGGACACGUGGUAUCCUGUCUGAAUAUGGGGGGACCAUCCUCCAAGGCUAAAUACUCCUGACUGACCGAUAGUGAACCAGUACCGUGAGGGAAAGGCGAAAAGAACCCCGGCGAGGGGAGUGAAAAAGAACCUGAAACCGUGUACGUACAAGCAGUGGGAGCACAGAGCAAUCUGUGUGACUGCGUACCUUUUGUAUAAUGGGUCAGCGACUUAUAUUCUGUAGCAAGGUUAACCGAAUAGGGGAGCCGAAGGGAAACCGAGUCUUAACUGGGCGUUAAGUUGCAGGGUAUAGACCCGAAACCCGGUGAUCUAGCCAUGGGCAGGUUGAAGGUUGGGUAACACUAACUGGAGGACCGAACCGACUAAUGUUGAAAAAUUAGCGGAUGACUUGUGGCUGGGGGUGAAAGGCCAAUCAAACCGGGAGAUAGCUGGUUCUCCCCGAAAGCUAUUUAGGUAGCGCCUCGUGAAUUCAUCUCCGGGGGUAGAGCACUGUUUCGGCAAGGGGGUCAUCCCGACUUACCAACCCGAUGCAAACUGCGAAUACCGGAGAAUGUUAUCACGGGAGACACACGGCGGGUGCUAACGUCCGUCGUGAAGAGGGAAACAACCCAGACCGCCAGCUAAGGUCCCAAAGUCAUGGUUAAGUGGGAAACGAUGUGGGAAGGCCCAGACAGCCAGGAUGUUGGCUUAGAAGCAGCCAUCAUUUAAAGAAAGCGUAAUAGCUCACUGGUCGAGUCGGCCUGCGCGGAAGAUGUAACGGGGCUAAACCAUGCACCGAAGCUGCGGCAGCGACGCUUAUGCGUUGUUGGGUAGGGGAGCGUUCUGUAAGCCUGUGAAGGUGUGCUGUGAGGCAUGCUGGAGGUAUCAGAAGUGCGAAUGCUGACAUAAGUAACGAUAAAGCGGGUGAAAAGCCCGCUCGCCGGAAGACCAAGGGUUCCUGUCCAACGUUAAUCGGGGCAGGGUGAGUCGACCCCUAAGGCGAGGCCGAAAGGCGUAGUCGAUGGGAAACAGGUUAAUAUUCCUGUACUUGGUGUUACUGCGAAGGGGGGACGGAGAAGGCUAUGUUGGCCGGGCGACGGUUGUCCCGGUUUAAGCGUGUAGGCUGGUUUUCCAGGCAAAUCCGGAAAAUCAAGGCUGAGGCGUGAUGACGAGGCACUACGGUGCUGAAGCAACAAAUGCCCUGCUUCCAGGAAAAGCCUCUAAGCAUCAGGUAACAUCAAAUCGUACCCCAAACCGACACAGGUGGUCAGGUAGAGAAUACCAAGGCGCUUGAGAGAACUCGGGUGAAGGAACUAGGCAAAAUGGUGCCGUAACUUCGGGAGAAGGCACGCUGAUAUGUAGGUGAAGUCCCUCGCGGAUGGAGCUGAAAUCAGUCGAAGAUACCAGCU
rnacentral:rRNA from 1 species